GCUGUAUCUCAGCUGUAGAGGUGCUGAGAGGUGCUGUAUCUCAGCUGUAGAGAGGUGCUGUAUCUCAGCUGUAGAGGUGCUGAGAGGUGCUGUAUCUCAGCUGUACAGAGGUGCUGUAUCUCAGCUGUAGAGGUGCUGAGAGGUGCUGUAUCUCAGCUGUACAGAGGUGCUGAGAGGUGCUGUAUCUCAGCUGUAGAGGUGAUGUAUCUCAGCUGUAGAGAGGUGCUGUAUCUCAGCUGUAGAGGUGAUGUAUCUCAGCUGUAGAGGUGAUGUAUCUCAGCUGUAGAGGUGAUGUAUCUCAGCUGUAGAGGUGAUGUAUCUCAGCUGUAGAGGUGAUGUAUCUCAGCUGUAGAGGUGAUGUAUCUCAGCUGUAGAGGUGAUGUAUCUCAGCUGUAGAGGUGAUGUAUCUCAGCUGUAGAGAGGUGAUGUAUCUCAGCUGUAGAGGUGAUGUAUCUCAGCUGUAGAGGUGAUGUAUCUCAGCUGUAGAGAGGUGAUGUAUCUCAGCUGUAGAGGUGAUGUAUCUCAGCUGUAGAGGUGAUGUAUCUCAGCUGUAGAGAGGUGAUGUAUCUCAGCUGUAGAGGUGAUGUAUCUCAGCUGUAGAGGUGAUGUAUCUCAGCUGUAGAGAGGUGAUGUAUCUCAGCUGUAGAGGUGAUGUAUCUCAGCUGUAGAGGUGAUGUAUCUCAGCUGUAGAGAGGUGCUGUAUCUCAGCUGUAGAGGUGAUGUAUCUCAGCUGUAGAGGUGAUGUAUCUCAGCUGUAGAGGUGAUGUAUCUCAGCUGUAGAGGUGAUGUAUCUCAGCUGUAGAGAGGUGAUGUAUCUCAGCUGUAGAGGUGAUGUAUCUCAGCUGUAGAGGUGAUGUAUCUCAGCUGUAGAGAGGUGCUGUAUCUCAGCUGUAGAGGUGAUGUAUCUCAGCUGUAGAGGUGAUGUAUCUCAGCUGUAGAGAGGUGAUGUAUCUCAGCUGUAGAGGUGAUGUAUCUCAGCUGUAGAGGUGAUGUAUCUCAGCUGUAGAGGUGAUGUAUCUCAGCUGUAGAGGUGAUGUAUCUCAGCUGUAGAGGUGAUGUAUCUCAGCUGUAGAGGUGAUGUAUCUCAGCUGUAGAGAGGUGAUGUAUCUCAGCUGUAGAGGUGAUGUAUCUCAGCUGUAGAGGUGAUGUAUCUCAGCUGUAGAGGUGAUGUAUCUCAGCUGUCACUAAGCUACUGGGUAGCUAAAUCCAUGUUGACACGAGCAGUUGAGUCCAGUCUGUACUUGUCCAUUUGCGGUCUAGCUGCAGUCGUUGUGGAUGAACUGCA